rnacentral:misc_RNA from 1 species
GAAAUGCGAUACGUAGUGCGAAUUGCAGAAUUCAGUGAAUCAUCAAAUCUUUGAACGCAUCUUGCGCUCUUUGGAAUCCCGGAGAGCAUGCCUCUUUGAGUAUCGUUUCAACCCAACCUCGACUGCGUGCUUUUUGUCGAAAGACCAAAAUCACUGCUUAGUUCGGAUAAUGAUCGUCUCAUUCGCAGUGAGUCGAUUUAAACCACUGGUGCUUAUCAUUCGAACCCUUGCUUGUUUCCUUCGGGAAAUAAGGUGGCUCGAUGUUUGAUAAAGGUUUUAUUACCCCAUCUACAUUGAGUCAUCGUUUGAAUUCGUUAAGUGCGAAGGAAAAAUCAUAACUAUUUGAACUUGAUCUCAGAUGAAGCAAGAAAACCCGCCGAAUUUAA